rnacentral:rRNA from 1 species
AUACGGAGGGUGCAAGCGUUACUCGGAAUCACUGGGCGUAACGCGCGCGCAGGCGGCUAUUUAAGUUGGAUGUGAAAGCCUACGGCUCAACCGUAGAACUGCAUCCAAAACUAUUUAGCUAGAGUGUGGGAGAGGAAGAUGGAAUUAGUUGUGUAGGAGUAAAAUCCGUAGAGAUAACUAGGAAUACCAAAAGCGAAGGCAAUCUUCUGGAACACUACUGACGCUGAGGCGCGAAAGCGUGGGGAGCAAACAGGAUUAGAAACCCUUGUAGUCC